rnacentral:tRNA from 3 species
AAGGUUUUAGCUUAAUGAAAGUAUCUGGGUUGCAUUCAGAAGAUGUGAGAUAGAGUCUUGCAAAUCUUA